rnacentral:rRNA from 1 species
GGUGCAUCAGCUGGAUACCAAAUCCAUAGCUGGGUAGCCAAGUCCGGAAGGGAUAAACGCUGAAGGCAUCUAAGCGUGAAGCCCCCCCCAAGAUGAGAUGUCCCUGUCUUCAAGACAGUAAGACCCCUGAAAGAGUAUCAGGUAGAUAGGGCAGAGGUGGAAGCGCGGUAACGUGUGGAGCUGACUGUUACUAAUCGGUCGAGGGCUUGACCAAAAA